rnacentral:miRNA from 1 species
GACGUCGAUAUUCGACGUCAUAAACACGAUCAAAUUUCGUGUUUAUGACGUCGAUAUUCGACGUCAUAAACACCAUCACGUUUGGUGUUUAUGACGUCGAUAUUCGACGUCAUAAACACGAUCAACGUUUGGUGUUUAUGACGUCGAUAUUCGACGUCAUAAACACCAUCAAAUUUGGUGUUUAUGACGUCGAUAUUCGACGUCAUAAACACGAUCAACUUUGGUGUUUAUGACGUCGAUAUUCGACGUC